UAUAAAGGAAGACCAAGUCCAACCACUACUAUUCAACUUUCCAACUCAUGAAAGGAAAUUGGUAGCAUAAGCAAUCUCUCUCUCUCUCUCACGCCUUCAGCAACAACAACACAAACCCCACACCUUCAUAUCUCUCCUCACGCAAAGAACACCAAGAUUCCACCAUUUUCUUAAUCCAAGCUUCCUUUUCAUAAACAUAAGUGUUGCAUGUAACCUCUAGCAAACACAUGAUCUUUGGAAACAUUAAUAGAAGUUGCAAAAGUUAAGCUUUUUCUCUAGUCAUGUUAUGGCAAGUUAAUCAUCAAACCCCCCUCUCUCAAAUUAACUCAUCUAGUCAAGUGAUGGAGAAGUAGAUAUGGAGAGGAGCUACCAAUUUUUCAGAAUUUAAGGGUAAGAUUACAAGACUUUCUUCUUACCCCAUUCAAUGUUCCAUUCCCUUUUAUUUUAGAAACUCACGAGCUCAUCUAUUCCAAAAUUGGUACUUGCAUGCAUGAUUUUCUUCUCAAAUACGAGUCAUGCAAUGACCGGAAGAGCAUGGCUUCGGCUGGAAGUAGAAGAUUGCAGCAAAAGCUGCGUUUUGGAAGCAGAACAGCUCGCCUAGCGAGUGUGGUUCUCGCCCUAGCGAGACCAGCAGAAGAACUCUGCUUAUGCAUACUGCUGUUCUCUCUCAUUAAACCACCCUUGAUCAAUGGUAAGCAAAGAUCCUGACCCUUUCCUCGUUCCAGAAUCGUUCCUUUUCUAUUUUAUCCUUAGAGCUUCAUGAAAUCAUUUACUUCCAUUUUAUAUGUUCAUAUGAGAUUCCCUGGAUGGAGAAACAAGCACAACUAGCAAAGGCAAAAGCUGCUCCAGAUAUAAAUCCGAACUAAUAGAAAUUACAGAGAGUUGUGAUGAAAGAAAAGCUGAAGGAUCCAAUUCCAGAAGUUGAGUGGUGGGUUACGAGAGAAUCAGUUCGAUGGACGCACGAAUCAAGAUCCAUGGGAUCACCUGACUCAAUUCUCAGAAACCUGCCAGAUACAAAAGGUACCUGAUCACAUCACUAAAGAUCAGAAAAAGCUUUGACUAUUUGCUUUUUCUUUGACAGGUAUGGCCAAGGAGUGGUUACAAUGCUUGCCAAGCGGAACGAUCUAGACAUAGAAGGAGCUGGAGAAUAAAUUUCUUAAGAUGAAAUCAGCCCAAACACCCCCUUUCCUACUAACACCGUUAUUUUUACGCUAACUUUUUUUAGUUGAACAUAAUAUGUUUUAUUGAUUUGUAAUUUUUAGGGUUAUCUAUUGUUGAAGGAGAAGGAAUUAUUCAACUCCCCUCCCAAUCUGUCAUGAGAAUUUGAAACAAGUUAAAAGCAUUCCAUAAUCCAAAAAAUACUAACGGCUUAAACCU